UGCCCGAGUAGUGUAAUGGUGGCACAUGCUCCGUAGGAGUAGUAGUGCGGGUUCAAGUCCCGUUUCGGGAAG
rnacentral:tRNA from 1 species